rnacentral:misc_RNA from 1 species
UCUCCGUAGGUGAACCUGCGGAAGGAUCAUUACAGAGUUCAUGCCCGAAAGGGUAGACCUCCCACCCUUGUGUAUUAUUACUUUGUUGCUUUGGCGAGCGCAAGCACGCCAGAGAAUACCAAAACUCUUUUUAUUAAUGUCGUCUGAGUACUAUAUAAUAGUUAAAACUUUCAACAACGGAUCUCUUGGUUCUG